GUGCGAGACCGAUAGCGAACAAGUACCGUGAGGGAAAGAUGAAAAGAACUUUGAAAAGAGAGUUAAAGAGUACCUGAAACUGCUGAAAGGGAACCGAAUCGUAUCCAGUGUCUAUAAUCCAUGGCAUAUUUCAUUGGCGAGUGAGUGCGUGCAGCGUUUUGGAAGUGGUUUUCCGCUCCUGUCGUUGUUGUGCAUUUGCUUGCUGGUGCCCUGUGCUGUGGUGGGACGUCAGAGUCAGUUUGUGUGUUGCGGGAAAUGGUUAUUGGGGAGGUAGGUCACUUCGGUGGCUGUUAUAUCCUGGUAACUAGUCGUCGUGGCUGAGACUGAGGUGCCUACAAUGUGCUUUCGAGUGUGCGGGAUUCUCGUGUGGCUGUUUGCUUUGAUAGCUUGCUAUGUUGGUGAAUAAGUCGUGCGAUUGAGACUUGUAUUAACUUGUUGCUGUUCGGGACUUUGAA
rnacentral:rRNA from 1 species